GACGUAGGGCGCGAGCGUUGUCCGGAUUUAUUGGGCGUAAAGAGCUCGUAGGCGGCUUGUCGCGUCGACUGUGAAAUCCCGCGGCUCAACUGCGGGUCUGCAGUCGAUACGGGCAGGCUAGAGUUCGGUAGGGGAGACUGGAAUUCCUGGUGUAGCGGUGAAAUGCGUAGAUAUCAAGAGGAACACCUGAGGUGAAGACGGGUUGCUGGGCCGACACUGACGCUGAUGCGCGAAAGCCAGGGGAGCAAACGGG
rnacentral:rRNA from 1 species